GAUGAACGCUAGCGGCAGGCUUAACACACGCAAGUCGAGGGGUAUAGGUUUUCGGACCUAGAGACCGGCGCACGGGUGCGUAACGCGUAUGCAAUCUACCUUUCACAGAGGGAUAGCCCAGAGAAAUUUGGAUUAAUACCUCAUAGUAUUAUAGAAUGGCAUCAUUUUAUAAUUAAAGUCACAACGGUGAAAGAUGAGCAUGCGUCCCAUUAGCUAGUUGGUAUGGUAACGGCAUACCAAGGCUACGAUGGGUAGGGGUCCUGAGAGGGCGAUCCCCCCCACUGGUACUGAGACACGGACCAGACUCCUACGGGAGGCAGCAGUGAGGAAUAUUGGUCAAUGGGCGCAAGCCUGAACCAGCCAUGCCGCGUGCAGGAUGACGGUCCUAUGGAUUGUAAACUGCUUUUGUACGGGAAGAAACACUCCUACGUGUAGGAACUUGACGGUACCGUAAGAAUAAGGAUCGGCUAACUCCGUGCCAGCCGCCGCCGUAA
rnacentral:rRNA from 1 species